GAUGAACGCUGGCGGCGUGCCUAACACAUGCAAGUCGAGCGGGAAUCGACCAACUGAAGCUUCGGCAGAAGGAAGUUGAGGAGAGCGGCGGACGGGUGAGUAACGCGUAGGUAACCUACCUUAUGCACAGGGAUAGCCCCGGGAAACUGGAAUUAAUACCUGAUAACGCGGUGAUAUCACAUGGUAUUACCGCCAAAGAUUUAUCGGCAUAAGAUGGACCUGCGUCUGAUUAGCUGGUUGGUGAGGUAACGGCUCACCAAGGCGACGAUCAGUAGCCGACCUGAGAGGGUAAUCGGCCACAUUGGAACUGAGACACGGUCCAAACUCC
rnacentral:rRNA from 1 species